UUUAACGAGAGUUUGAUCCCGGCUCAGAAUCAACGCUGGCGGCGCGCCUAACACAUGCAAGUCGAGCGAGAAAGCAGACUUCGGUCUGCAAGUACAGCGGCAGACGGGUGAGUAACACGUGGGUAACCUGCCCUUGAAUGGGGAAUAACCUUGGGAAACCGGGACUAAUACCGCAUACGAUCUUUGUUACACAAGUAGUGAAGAUGAAAGCCUUCGGGCGUUCGAGGAGGGAUCCGCGGCCGAUUAGCUUGUUGGUAAGGUAAUGGCUUACCAAGGCACCGAUCGGUAGCCGGCCUGAGAGGGUGAACGGCCACACUGGCACUGAGACACGGGCCAGACUCCUACGGGAGGCAGCAGUGGGGAAUCUUGGACAAUGGGGGAAACCCUGAUCCAGCAAUUCCGCGUGAACGAUGAAGGCCUUAGGGUUGUAAAGUUCUUUUAGUAAGGAAGAU
rnacentral:rRNA from 2 species